UCUCUGCCCUCCAUGGUUGAAGGAACAAAGUAUCUUUCCCCUGGAAAGAAGCAAACUGAUAAUGAAAAGAAAUGAGGGGUUUAACUUCAUAACCAAGAAUGAUUGAAAACAGGAGAAGGAAUUGCUGUCAAAGAUUGUACAGUACGAUGAAGUUGUACGGCCCUGUGAACACAGAGAUAAAGACAGAAUUCCUAAACGUAGGAACUUCC